rnacentral:rRNA from 1 species
UACGUAGGGGGCGAGCGUUGUCCGGAAUCACUGGGCGUAAAGGGUGCGUAGGCGGUUCUUUAAGUCCGGGGUGAAAUCCUGGAGCUCAACUCCAGAACUGCCUUUGAUACUGAAGAUCUUGAGUUCGGGAGAGGUGAGUGGAACUGCGAGUGUAGAGGUGAAAUUCGUAGAUAUUCGCAAGAACACCAGUGGCGAAGGCGGCUCACUGGCCCGAGACUGACGCUGAGGCACGAAAGCGUGGGGAGCAAACAGG